AUGGGAGGUGAGUGUUACUCUAGCCCAGAUGAGCCAUUUUCAGGAGGAGAUGAGUCAAGAGCAGCUGAAGUCAGUGCCCAGGGCUGCCUUGUGAUAGGAAGAAAAGAUGUUCCUGAAAUUCUUGGGCAGAGCAGCCAGCAGCUGGAGCAGAGGCCUCGGUUUCUAAGCAUCCAGGAGGGAGAAAAUGUCACUGUGUACUGCAACUCCUCCAGCACUUUUCCCACCUUUCAAUGGUACAGACAGGAGCCUGGGAAAGGUCCUGUCCUCUUAAUGACAUUAGCUAAGGGUGGAGACAAGAAGGUACAGAACAGACUAACGGCUCUGUUUGGUGAAGCAAGAAAGGACAGCUCCCUGCUCAUCACUGCAGCCCAGCCUGGGGAUGUGGGCACCUACCUGUGUGCGGGGACACAGUGCUUUGGGGGCACCUGCUGCCUGCACACAAAGCCUCUGCUGCAGGCCCCAGUCACACUGCUCCUCCUCACACACCUCUUGGCAUGA